rnacentral:rRNA from 1 species
AUACGUAGGGUGCAAGCGUUGUCCGGAUUUAUUGGGCGUAAAGGGCUCGUAGGCGGUCUGUCACGUCGGAUGUGAAAACUCGGAGCUCAACUCCGGGCCUGCAUCCGAUACGGGCAGACUAGAGUUCGGUAGGGGAGAUUGGAAUUCCUGGUGUAGCGGUGGAAUGCGCAGAUAUCAGGAGGAACACCGAUGGCGAAGGCAGAUCUCUGGGCCGAUACUGACGCUGAGGAGCGAAAGCGUGGGGAGCAAACAGGAUUAGAUACCCGAGUAGUCC